rnacentral:tRNA from 1 species
AAGGGAGACCUAAUUCAGGUAGGAGACGAAAAAAAAGUAGUCGCUACCAAGAAUCAAUCCCAAAAGGUCGGAGCGAGGCGAAAUUGGCUUUCAAACUAGGUUCUGGGUUCACACAAGACCUGAAUCAGGAACAAGGGCUAUUAGCUCAGGUGGUUAGAGCGCACCCCUGAUAAGGGUGAGGUCCCUGGUUCGAGUCCAGGAUGGCCCACCUGCACAGGUGGCAAAAACAAGAGAAGCUCCGAAUCAGCACCUUAUCUUAUCUAUAUAUAAGAGAGAAUGCUGGCUCUGAGUAAAGAGUCCAGAGGAACCUUGAAAACUGCAUAGAGCUAGGUGAAAAAGCCAAAAAAGAAGACCGCAA